rnacentral:tRNA from 1 species
GUCUCCGUAGUUCAAUGGAUAGAACAAUGGUUUCCUAAACUGUAAAUGCGAGUUCGAUCCUCGCCGGAGACA